rnacentral:tRNA from 1 species
GGAAAUGUGCCCGAACCUUAAGGAUUACUUUGAUAGAGUAAACAACAGAGGUUAAAAUCCUCUCAUUUCCU